rnacentral:misc_RNA from 1 species
UCCGAGUUGACCCCGGCAGUCUCCCAUGAGUCCCCAACUAAAUGCUGGCAACAUGCGACGGGGGUUGCGCUCGUUGCGGGACUUAACCCAACAUCUCGCGACACGAGCUGGCGACAGCCAUGCACCACCUGUGAUCCUGCCCCGAAGGGAAGACCUGUUUCCAGGCCGGUCAGGAACAUGUCAAGCCCAGGUAAGGUUCUUCGCGUUGCGUCGAAUUAAACCACAUGCUCCGCUGCUUGUGCGGGCCCCCGUCAAUUCCUUUGAGUUUUAAUCUUGCGACCGUACUCCCCAGGCGGUCUACUUCACGCGUUAGCUGCGUUACCAAGUUAAUGAAAACCCGACAACUAGUAGACAUCGUUUAGGGCGUGGACUAC